CGGACGGGUGAGUAACGCGUGGGUAACCUGCCUUGUACAGGGGGAUAACAGUCAGAAAUGACUGCUAAUACCGCAUAAGCGCACAGGACCGCAUGGUCCGGUGUGAAAAACUCCGGUGGUAUAAGAUGGACCCGCGUUGGAUUAGCUAGUUGGUGGGGUAAUGGCCUACCAAGGCGACGAUCCAUAGCCGGCCUGAGAGGGUGAACGGCCACAUUGGGACUGAGACACGGCCCAG
rnacentral:rRNA from 1 species